UUUCGGUGGGAGGGCUGAAGAAAAC
rnacentral:piRNA from 1 species